GCCGGUGUAGCUCAGUUGGUAGAGCGCAAAAUUUGUAAUUUUGAUGUCGCGGGUUCGAUUCCUGUCACCGGCU
rnacentral:tRNA from 1 species